GCUUACCAUGCAGUCGAGCGGGGAAAGGUAUGCUUGCUACCUGACCUAGCGGCGGACGGGUGAGUAAUGCUUAGGAAUCUGCCUAUUAGUGGGGGACAACAUUCCGAAAGGAAUGCUAAUACCGCAUACGCCCUACGGGGGAAAGCAGGGGAUCUUCGGACCUUGCGCUAAUAGAUGAGCCUAAGUCAGAUUAGCUAGUUGGUGGGGUAAAGGCCUACCAAGGCGACGAUCUGUAGCGGGUCUGAGAGGAUGAUCCGCCACACUGGGACUGAGACACGGCCCAGACUCCUACGGGAGGCAGCAGUGGGGAAUAUUGGACAAUGGGCGAAAGCCUGAUCCAGCCAUGCCGCGUGUGUGAAGAAGGCCUUUUGGUUGUAAAGCACUUUAAGCGAGGAGGAGGCUACUUAGAUUAAUACUCUAGGAUAGUGGACGCUACUCUCAGAAUAAGCACCGGCUAACUCUGUGACAGCAGCUCCCGGUCCACC
rnacentral:rRNA from 1 species